CGGACCAGUGUGAGAGAAACAAAUGGUAUCAACAGCUUUUUUCCCUUCAGAUGGUGAUGAAUUCCCUGCACUCUGAUUAGGCCAGGCUGUUGUGACCGGUCACCGCUCUCAAGACAAUAGGUUCUAAUGGGUUUGCUAAAUGGCCAGAACCCGUCCUGUGGGAGAGAAGAAUCAUAUAACAAACAACUGCACAGAGGAGAACGAGUGAGGGAGUGGUUUUCUGCAAUAAGCGGCUGAAAUGGACGGGGAAUAGUUAAAGAGCCUGACCUGGCGGGGAACCAGAGGGUAAGUGGCUGUCGGCUUUGUUUAUUUCUAAUUAUUCAUGUGCGUGGGCAUAUGUGCCUGUUUGUUUACCUGUUGAAUUUGGCAUCCAGCAGUCAAAAUUAAACAGCUCACCUGAGGAUUACGUCCCCGGACCGGAGCUUCCUGAGCCAGUAGCCGCCAGGUCUGUACCGCUUUACCACUGGACAUUAAUUGUGACACUGAUUGAAGGUGAGUUGCAUCCACACCUGACGCCAGAUGGACAGAACCUCAGACUGACCAUCAGCAGAACUAACGAGAUGUGGAGGUCUGAAGAAACUGCUUCACAUGAUGCUCAUCACGUGAAUAAUUACAUGAACAUGGACCAGUUCUUCCCAGAUUGUGCUCGUCAGAGGAAGAGCGUGCUCCGUGCUUGGGGCCGCGCCUGAGGGGAGUCUCGUCAGUCACCCAGAACCUGGGCCACCUCCCGACAAGGUCGCAGAGGUGUCCCACCCCGAGAUUAAAGCGGCUCCAUUCAUCCAGUGAGGGCCCCCUCCAGGCAGCCAUUAUCAGAGCGGAUCGCUGUGCCAAAAAGCUCAAAUGGAUGCGUGGAGCACAGGCUGUGACCUUCCCACAGACCGCUGCCAUUUUCAAGCCUCUCAGUCUCACAGGAUGGCUCGCUGCUCGAAGUAUUGCUCCUUAUCGUUGGGAGUAAAAGGAACGUUUUACUUAUUUGUCUGGUCAUCGCUGUAGUGUUUUUUACACUUUUUUGUUUUUUACACUGUUUCCAGUGUUUGUGCUGGCGUUGGCUUCGGCGCAGGCAGGCAGUCUGGUUAAGGUCUCAGUCCAAAGAUCUCACACAAACACAGCUGUCAGAAUUGGCUCAUGUCCCUUAUUAGCGCCUGCUAGUGUGCACAUAUUUGCUUGUGUGGGUUCUGUCAGAACGCUGGGUCUCUGUGGGAGGGCAGACUGGCACCGGGACCUCCAAGCACUUAAGUUUUUUAUCCAUCCAUCAAUGAGGAUUUUUGUUUGUACCUUAAAAAAAGCAUCAAGUCUCUUCUGUGUGGACGAUGUUUGAGAUACAUGACCGUCACUUGCUGCCACUGAGGUUCCGGCUCUGCUUUCUGCUGUGAAUGUUCCCUGAAUGCAUCACCAGGGAGGCAGCUGAUUUGUAAUGAAGCCAUGCGGCAGUAUGUGACGGAUGAAUGUGAUGGUUCGACGUCGUCCGCCUUCUAUUUUCAGGAGCUGGGUCUGAAUGUGAUUGGAUGCUGGGCCGAGGAGUAGAGCGUCCAGCGUUCCACCGCUGAUUACGGUCAGUCAAUCAGCAGAUGGAGGAGUUCAGAUGAAGGCGGACUCAAGGAAUGCCGGGUGAACUGCUAUCUCGCAGCUUCUGAUUGCAGAACACACCUUAUCAAGGUAAUAGGCUAUUAGGGUGGGGAUAAUUAAAGG
rnacentral:lncRNA from 1 species